AAUAAAGGCAACAGUAGUAUACCGCUGUUCAAACUCAUAAAUCCAUGGACAAAAACAAAAUCGGGGUAACAAACUAAAACUGACGCGUACGCAUAAAUAUAAGAGGAGAACAACGACACAACACUACAAUGUAACUAACACACACAGAAAUGGACCAAGCAUCAGACAAAAUCCCACGAGAAUAACAAAUAUAACAUAAAACCAAAUACAUGAAUUUGGGAUAGACAAGUACCGUGACACGUCUUAUCGCAAUGUCAAUUUACACUCAAAAAUAAGAGAAAACAAACGACACAACGUUAAAUUGUAACACACACAGAAACGAACUAUAAUAUAACAAUGGCCAUAUUCCUGACUUGGUACAGGACAUUUUUAAAGGAAAAAAUGGUGGGUUGAACCUGGUUUUGUGGCAUGCCAAACCUCGCACUUUAAUGGCAAUGUUAAAUAUAACAUAGAAAUGAC
rnacentral:lncRNA from 1 species